CUUGGUGGCCGUGGAGGCGGGGGUACACCCGAUCCCAUUCCGAACUCGGAAGUUAAGCCCGCCAUCGCCGAUGAUACUGCGGUUUAAUCGUGGGAAAGUAGGUCGCCGCCAAGA
rnacentral:rRNA from 1 species